AAUAUUUAACCCUGUACCAUGCAGGAGGCUCCAUGAGAGGCACUGCAUUGCCAGAGGGCUAUUGCAUUCUGGAGGGGAUAGGGUUCUAAACUUGUCACUUGUCGUCAGACUGCUGGCCCUUUAGGCCACAAUUCAUUAAGUGGGGCUCUUGAGUCACUCAGCCAUUCCCGCUGCUUUUUUCCCCCAGACUGCUCACUCGAAAUAGAGCAGUUGGAAACUGUCUUGCUGGAAAGAACUUGGACCACAGCAUCCCACUGCCAUCACUUACGAUCCCGGAGACAGGGCCUUGAGGACGCGGGCCUGGCUGGAGUGGAACUGGCCUGGCCAACACAGCCAGCAGCGCCCCGGGAUGAGAGGAGAGAAUGGAGCAGAGCCUCCUAGCAAGAUUCUUCUCGGAGCCUUGAGACAAGAGUUGUGUCAACUGUAGAUGGCUGUGCCCCAGUCACUUGAGAGGCAUGAAUCAAUUUCCAGCUGCAUUUAUCACUUGCUGCCUUAAAUCAAGUCUAAUCAAUGCUUCCUUCAUUUGGUAUGGAUUGAAACUAUAUAUAAUGUGCUCGGAGAAUGGCCGGGAAAGGGAGCAGAUCACAAACAAGAAGGCCGUCGGGGAUUCAGAUGGAAUGAUGUUAAGGAAACAUUUGCAGUUUUUGAUUUGCUUUAAUGGAGAUGCCUGACCAAACAGUUAGAUGUGUUUAUGAAGUUUCAUUCAAUCCACCCGACACGCAGCGUCAUUACACAACCCGUCAGUUGAUAGGAGGGGACUUCUGCAUCUUCAAAUAUUUUGUAAUAAAUUAUGAAGAUUCUGUAUAUUUUUCAGUAAGGUUUAACUCCUACAUUGUCUUUAAUUUAUGUCUGUUUUCUUUUAGAGGUGUUUUUGUCACUACUGACUGUAAGGGGCAAUUUCUAGUUAUAAGAUAAUAAUCUCUUUGUAACAAAAUGGAUAUCCAGGGCCCCUCUGAUAAAAACAAUUUUUUAUGAA